UACCCUACGGGAGGCAGCAGUGAGGAAUAUUGGUCAAUGGGCGGGAGCCUGAACCAGCCAAGCCGCGUGAAGGAAGAAGGCGCCAAGCGUCGUAAACUUCUUUUGUCGGGGAACAAAGGGCGCCACGUGUGGCGUUGUGAGUGUACCCGAAGAAAAAGCAUCGGCUAACUCCGUGCCAGCAGCCGCGGUAAUUCGGAGGAUGCGAGCGUUAUCCGGAUUUAUUGGGUUUAAAGGGUGCGUAGGCGGAAUAUCAAGUCAGCGGUAAAAAUUCGGGGCUCAACCCCGU
rnacentral:rRNA from 1 species